CGCGCUAAUCAGUGACCGGGGCUGGUUUUUGCAACAGUCAGGUACCUGAAGUAGCGCGCG
rnacentral:pre_miRNA from 1 species